AUGGCCUGGUGGGGGAAAGCUUUUGCGGUGUGGGAUGGGCCCGCGGCCUAUCAGCUUGUUGGUGGGGUGAUGGCCUACCAAGGCGACGACGGGUAGCCGGCCUGAGAGGGUGUCCGGCCACACUGGGACUGAGAUACGGCCCAGACUCCUACGGGAGGCAGCAGUGGGGAAUAUUGCACAAUGGGCGCAAGCCUGAUGCAGCGACGCCGCGUGAGGGAUGACGGCCUUCGGGUUGUAAACCUCUUUCAAUACCGACGAAGCGCAAGUGACGGUAGGUACAGAAGAAGCACCGGCCAACUACGUGCCAGCAGCCGCGGUAAUACGUAGG
rnacentral:rRNA from 1 species